rnacentral:lncRNA from 1 species
GAGUAGUGACAACCUAAGCGUUCUAAGCGAUCUAAUAAAUUUCUUGAAAUAUGGCUCAUGGAUAUUGAAGAUCGGGUACAACAUCACAAAUUAAUUAAAAUAUUAAAGGAUAAAGGAGUUGAUAGUCAAGAUGUAUGAAUCAUAGAAAAAUUAUACUGGCGUCAAACAGCGACAGCUUGCAUAAAUGGAAAAUCAACAGAAAUAUGCAAAAUAAAAAGAGGUGUUGUAACGUUCCGUUAACUUCUAAUUAUCUUUAUAGUUAUUUCAUUUUUACUUUUAAACCCGUUUUAUCAAAGUAUACUUAAAAACAAUAUCUAAUUAAUAUAUUAUAUAUCUUUUGGGGAUAUAUUGGGAACAACAUAUCAUAUUGGGAACUUUAAUGGCGUAAAGUUGGUAGCGCUCUAGCGGUGAACCUAAGAAAUAACUUGACGUCUGGCUUUUGGCUAGCGGAAAAGGAUUGGAAAUUGGCACUUAAGGUUGGAGUGUGGUUAAGGAAAGGGCGAAGUUCCUCGUAUGAUUUACGUUUUAAAAAGUUUCAGUGUUCAAUAUUUUGUAUAUAUUUAAAUAUAUGAUAAUUACAUUAUUGAAAGUUUGGUGAACCAAGGAGACUAAAAUUACAGAUGUGUUUAUGAGGAUUCUUCGCCCUUCCAUGAAGCUUAAGUAAGACUCUCAGAACACCGAGAGGAACCACCUCCAACCCUCUGAAGUCACAAGAGGCAAGCCUAAGGUCUCCAGUCUCCAGUUUUUAUAAGGAAGUUUUUGCACCUCCAGGAGGGCAACUUAGCUGGCAGUUAGCACCACCUUUGUGGUAACUUCACCGAUAAGGGUUUUCGGUGUACGCUGUGAGGAACACUCUUGGGAGCCAUAUCUGGUCUAGUGGGUUUGUUUGGGAACAGAUAUAUUUACAGUGCAAUAGUUAUUCGCCGAUACCAUUUUACACAUUUUUAUUAAUAUCCAGAACAUUUACCUGAUUCACUGUCAUAUACCGUGACUAUAUUUAUUUUGUAUUCAUUUUUUUUUAUCUCUUAAUAUCACCUACAUAUAAUUUAAUAGCGUUCCUACACCUGUAUGACUAUAUGUAAAAGAAGAUAAUUUGGGCCCAAAUAACUCUUUUUCCCAUACAGUAGUUCCUUACAUUUAUUGUUUUUUUAGCAUUAUUAUUAGGCUUGUCCUCAUUUUUCUUUUCUCUUUUGAUAACCAUAUAUUUUAAUAUUAUUAGUUUGUUCUUUGUAAUUUAAAUUCAUAAAUUUGCUUGCGUAACUUAACUUCAUUUGCAUAUUAAAUUAAAUUCAAUCCCUAAUCACUAUCCCCUCAGGAUAGCUUUUAGUUUCACUCUUUCAAUUUAGGAACCACGAGUCAGAAAAAGGAUCUUUGCAUCCAGGACUACGUCGGUUCAAAUAGGCUGGUUGGCCAUCCAACUCAUUGAGUUUUAUAUUUAUAUUGUUUAUUUUAGGUAGGUAUUUUGAUUAGUCACUUUCCUGUAAUAUUUAACAUUUCUGUACGUAUUACAAUCGUACGAUUAUUUGGUGAAGGUUGUUAAAAUCUAAGUAGUUAUAUUUAAUAAAUAUUUAUUUGUUUUUGCAUAUCAA